rnacentral:tRNA from 1 species
GUCCCUGUAGUUCAAUGGAUAGAAUGUAGCCCUGCGAAGGCUGCGAUCUAGGUUCGACUCCUAGCAGGGACA